CAUUGUAUUCAAUGUGGUUUCCGAUGUAGGGUAUACAUGAUGAUGAUAAAAUUUAAAAAUCUCGAAGUUAGUUACACAUGAAACAAAUAUUGUCAGGCAAUGUGAUGGGGCAAUUUAAAAACUUUAAAACAUAUUCUGCGAAAUUAGUUCAACCAAUGGAGAGGAAAAUAAAAACUGUUCUUGUAGAUAUGAGUGGAACAAUUCAUAUUGAAAAUGAGGUGGUACCAGGAUCUUUGGAAGCACUGAAAAGAUUAAGGAAAACAGAUUUGAACAUCAAGUUCGUAACAAAUACCACAAAAGAGUCACAAAGGCUGCUUUUGGAGAGGUUGAGGAAAAUUGGCUUUGAUAUCCAACCUUCAGAAAUUUUCACAUCAUUAACAGCUGCAGUAAAAUUGAUCAAGAAAAAUUCCCUACGACCUUUCCUUAUAGUAGAUGACAGAGCUUUAGAUGAUUUUGAAGGAAUUGAAACCAAGGAUGAAAAUGCCGUAGUGAUAGGACUUGCUCCAGAAAUGUUUCAGUAUAAAACUCUGAAUCAGGCAUUUAGGUUAUUGGCAGAUGGGGCUCCACUCAUAGCCAUUCAUAAAGCACGAUAUUACAAGACAUCCACUGGAUUGUCUCUAGGACCAGGUCCAUUUGUAACAGGAUUAGAGUAUGCAGCAGAUUGUAAAGCUGAAGUUGUUGGAAAACCUGAGAAAUCUUUUUUCCUGUCAGCUAUAGAAGAGUUUAAUUGUCAGCCAGAUGAAUGCAUCAUGAUUGGAGAUGAUGUUAGAGAUGAUGUAGCUGGAGCCCAGGACUGUGGAAUGCUGGGAAUCCUUGUCAAGACAGGAUUAUUUGUACCAAGAUUGAUCAAAAUUGGCCCUGUGGUUCUGGAGAAGAUGAAAUUGUGAAAAGAUGACAACAAUGAUGAUAAUAUCGACAACUGACGCCAGACGAAUUUCUAUUACAAAAGGGAAAUACAGGACGAAGGAUGAAGAAAAAAUCGAUCCCAAGCCAUAUAUGACUGUCAACAACUUUUCACAUGCUGUUGAUAGAAUUGUCACAAAUUUACUACACCAAUAAAGUUGUACAAUAGACA